AAAGACCUUUUCCCCCUCGGUCCUCAGAACAAAGGCCACUUCCUUCAUGGGUUCCAGAGAAGCCGACCCCACUUAACGCCUCUAGAGCCGAAGUGCUCGUAGCCGUCCAGGACAAAGAAUUCUUGCAAUGGCCCAAGCCCCUGAAAGCGGAAGCCGACCAGCAAAAUCCUGACAAAUAUUGUCAGUUCCACCGAACUCAUGGUCACGACACCAACAACUGUUUCCAGUUGAUUGCAGAAAUUGAGAGGUUGAUAAAGAGAGGGCACCUAAAGAACUUUGUAAAGAAACCGAAAGGACAGAGACCUCAACCCAAUCCGGCAGCUCAGACGCCGAGAAGAACAGGAGCUAACACUGUGAAUGAUGGGUCCAGUGGAACUAUCAACAUGAUCGUAGGAGGCACGGGAGGUCGGAUGAGCCGAAGGGGGAAAAAGAGAAGCAGAGAAGGAGAAACUAGCAGUGCCGAGGUCAUGCAAAUCGUUGAACACUCUUCAACAACCAUCACUUUCUCCUCGGAGGAUGCUCAGGGUGUUCAGAUGCCUCACGAUGACGCCCUUGUCAUUGAAGCUGUUAUUCACAAUUAUCGGGUAAAGAAAAUCUUGGUGGAUGACGGAAGCAAGGUAAACCUGUUGCCUUAUCGAGUCUUCCAGCAGAUGGGCAUUCCGGAAGAGCAACUGGUUCGGGAUCAAGCCCCGAUUAGAGGGAUUGGAGGAGCACCAGUAACAGUGGAAGGGAAAGUAAAGCUAGCCCUUACUUUGGGAGAGGCCCCGAGGGCUCGCACCCAUUAUGCGGUGUUCUUGGUGGCUAAACUCCCUCUGAGCUACAACGCGAUUCUGGGACGACCUGUGCUGUUCGACUUUGAAGCUGUCACCAGUAUCAGAUACUUGGCAAUGAAAUUCCCCACAGAAGCAGGGGUGGGAACAGUUCGGGGAAGUCAAGAGGAAGCAAGGGCAGUGUACCUGGCUACCGUAGCAGAGCCGAGCUUAACAGAAGAAAAGAUGGAUUCAGAAGUCCUGGAGGUCCGAGAUGAGAAAACAGAAGCCAGAACAGAGCCGGUGGGGGAACUAGAGACUUUCUCCUUAUCAGAAACGGAAACAGACAAAACCUUCAGUCUCAACGCCGGCCUCACCAAGGAGCAGAAAGCCGAGGUGAUGUCCUUGAUUCGAGGUCAUGCAUCAAGCUUCGCCUGGAAGCCUUCGGACAUACCCGGAAUUGACCCCGGGGUGAUGACCCAUAGACUGAAUGUCCUCCCUGAAGUCAGACCAGUAAAGCAGAAAAAGAGGGUAGUAGGAAGGGAAAAGCAGCAGGCCACCAAGGAGGAAGUACAGAAGCUAGAGGAGGCAGGCUUUAUUAGAGAAGUUAUGUACCCACAGUGGUUAGCCAAUCCUGUAUUAGUCAAAAAAGCCAAUGGCAAAUAUAGGAUGUGCAUAGACUUUACUGAUCUGAAUAAAGCCUGCCCUAAAGAUUGUUAUCCCCUCCCUGAUAUUAAUAAAAUGGUCGACUCUACGGCCGGUUUUGAUUACAUGUCGUCUUUGGAUGCAAUGUCUGGUUAUCAUCAAAUCCCAAUGUAUAGGUCGGAUGAAGAAAAAACCUCGUUCAUAAUGGAAGAUGGGACUUAUUGCUAUAAAGCCAUGCCUUUCGGAUUGAAAAACGCCGGGGCAACUUACCAAAGACUGAUGAACAAAAUCUUCAAAGAGCAGAUCGGCAGGAACGUACAAGUUUAUGUAGAAAAUAUGGUGGUCAAGAGCCUAACUUUCCAACAGCACGUGGCAGAUCUGAAGGAGGUGUUUGGAGUAUUAGAUCAGUACAGAAUGAAGUUGAAUCCGGCAAAGUGCGCCUUUUUCAUCAGAGGAGGAAAAUUCCUGGGGUACAUGGUGAGUGGGAAAGGCAUCGAGCCCAAUCCGGAGAAAGUAG
rnacentral:lncRNA from 1 species